rnacentral:rRNA from 1 species
GUAGCAUAGUCAUUAGCCUCUUAAUUAGGGGAUAGAAUGAACGAUUAAACAGAGAAUAGCUAUUAGAUUUAAAAAAUAAAAUUUGAAGUUUAAGUAAAAAUACUUAAAUAUGAUAAGGGGACGAUAAGACCCUAAAAGCUUUAGUUAAUUAUUAAGAGUUAAUAAUAGAUAAUAUAUUUUAAUUGGGGUAAUGGGUAUAUAUAGAAAUUAUAAUAGUUUAUAUACACUAGAAAGUGGAUAUUAGAUUUUUUAAAUAAAAAUUAUUUUUAAAAGUUACUUUAGGGAUAACAGCAUAAUAAUUUUUGAGAGUUCUUAUCUAUGAAGUUGAUUAUGACCUCGAUGUUGAAUUAAGAUAUCUUUGUAAAGGAGAAGUUACAGGAGAGGGUUUGUUCAACCUUUAAUAUUUU